GUCCACGCCCUAAACGAUGCGCACUAGGUAUUGGGAGUAUCGACCCUCUCAGUGCCGUUUAAAAAAGCAAAUGCGUUAAGUGCGCCGCCUGGGGAGUACGGCCGCAAGGUUAGAACUCAAAGGAAUAGACGGGGACCCGCACAAGUAGAGGAUCAUGUGGUUUAAUUCGACGGUACACGGCGAACCUUACCAAGGCUCAACUACUAGCUGCAAGCCGGUGGAAACAUUGGCCGCUUUCGAAGGUGCUAGAUAGGUGCUGCAUGGUUGCCGU
rnacentral:rRNA from 1 species